rnacentral:rRNA from 1 species
CGGGGGGGCAAGCGUUGUUCGGAAUUACUGGGCGUAAAGGGCGCGUAGGCGGUUUGCUAAGUUGGAUGUGAAAACUCUGGGCUUAACCCAGAGCCUGCAUCCGAAAACUGGCUGGACUUGAGUACUGGAGGGGAAAGCGGAAUUCCUGGUGUAGACGGUGAAAUGCGUAGAUAUCAGGAGGAACACCGGUGGCGAAGGCGGCUUUCUGGACAGUAACUGACGCUGAGGCGCGAAAGCUAGGGGAGCAAACAGGAUUAGAUACCCUGGUAGUCCUAGCCCUAAACGAUGGAUACUUGGUGUGAGGGGGAUUGAAUCCCUUCGUGCCGUGGCUAACGCAAUAAGUAUCCCGCCUGGGGAGUACGGUCGCAAGGCUG